UACGAAGGGGGCGAGCGUUGUUCGGAUUUACUGGGCGUAAAGGGCGCGCAGGCGGUCUUGCAAGUCAGGCGUGAAAGCCCCGGGCUCAACCUGGGAAUGGCAUUUGGGACUGCAAGGCUGGAGUGCGGCAGAGGAGACUGGAAUUCCUGGUGUAGCAGUGAAAUGCGUAGAUAUCAGGAGGAAUACCGAUGGCGAAGGCAGGUCUCUGGGCUGACACUGACGCUCAUGCACGAAAGCGUGGGGAGCAAACAGG
rnacentral:rRNA from 1 species